GAUGAACGCUAGCGGCAGGCUUAAUACAUGCAAGUUGAGGGGCAGCAUGAUAUACGCGAGUAUAUUGAUGGCGACCGGCGGACGGGUGAGUAAUAGGUAGGAGACCUACCUCAUACAGGGGGAUAGCAUAGAGAAAUCUGUGGUAAUACCCCAUGAGGUUAUAUGAAUAGAGGCAUAUAAUCAAAGCAUAAGCGAUUAUGCGGUAUGAGAGGGGCCUACUGACCAUUAGCUAGUUGGUGAGGUAAGGGCUCACCAAGGCGAAGAUGGUUAGGGGUUUUGAGAGAGAGACCCCCCACAUUGGAACUGAGAGACGGUCCAGACUCCUACGGGAGGCAGCAGUAGGGAAUAUUGGGCAAUGGGCGAAAGCCUGACCCCAGCCAUGCCGCGUGAAGGAAGACGGCCUUAUGGGUUGUAAACUUCUUUACUACGCGAAUGAGGUUAGACGAGAUACUAAUAGGAAGGUAUGUAGUAAAAAGCAACCGGUAACUCCGUG
rnacentral:rRNA from 1 species